GACGGUUUAGCUCAGUGGUAGAGCGUCAGUAUCGUAAACUGAAGGUAGGCGGUUUAAUCCCGCCAUCCGGUU
rnacentral:tRNA from 1 species